ensembl:lncRNA
AUGAGAGAACGGAGCGAGCGGCAAGGUGACACGAGAGCCGCCCUCCUCCCUCCCGCCCAGGCAGCGAGCCCUCCGCCUCGGGGCCGCCGGAGCCGAGCCCCUCCCGCUGCCCGCGGGCAGCUCCCGAGCUCCCUCACCGCUCUCUCCUCGGGGCCGUUUCUCCGCGUCGCUGCCUCUGGUAAUAAGCCGAGGACAGGGGCGAGCCGCCGCUCGAGGCUCCGCUGCCGCUCUUCCCCUUCAGCCGAGCGGGGUGCGCGGCUCCGUCCGGCCCGGCCUGAGGUGAGGCCCUGCUCCCGCCGGAGCCCCUCCGCUGCGGCGCGGGGAGCGCCGGGCCCGCCUGUCCCCUCCGCCCCGGCUCUGCUGCACCUGCCGCGCUGCCGGGCUGUCCCUGCGGCGCGUGCCGAGGAGAGGAGAAGGCACUCUCUCUCCGUCCUCCCUCAACUUCUCAUCACUUUCCUCCGCCCCCGCUCGGCCCCACCGCGCUGCCGACCCGGCGCCCGCCCGCCCGCCGGACGCAUGCACCGGCGCCGCCGUCGACCCUCCGGAGAUGCCCUCGGGCACACAGGGAGCGGUCGCCCCUCGGCCCUGCACCUCGCCGGCACAGAGAGCUGCUGUCCCGCUCUCCGGGCGCCCUCCCGCCCCAUGCACUGCCCGGCUCCCAGGACGGCGGCGAGCUGCCGGCGGGGCAGGUGCCCUGUGCCCGCCUCUCGCGGGUGGGACCCGGCCGCGCUCCGCCAAUCAGUCCGUCAAUCUGGCGGGGAGGCCGCGGCCGUGCGAGGUGAGCCCGGAGCCGAAUUACUAAUGAUUUCCAAACUGCGUGCGCGAGUAAUAGCAUCUAGAGCCAUUCUUACCCUCCUGAAAAGAAGGAGUGUGCUGCCAACGUGCUUUUUACUUUUCUCUAGAGGUUGGUUUUCCCAGUCUAUGACUUUUUAUACCAUUGUUCUGCAAGCAAAGUAUUUUUCAGCUUUGCCUCUGAAACUCUCCAAGUUAGUAAUGGUAGCCAUGAGAUAAAGUGGAACAAAUUCAACCUGUGUCAGACUUACAAGAAAUAGAUGACUUUCAAUUAAUUGUUGGAUCCUCAAUUCCUUGUGUCAGCUCUUUUGUCUAAUCUCUUUUUGAGCUAUUAAUGCUACCAUUCUCUGGAGAAUGACAGUAAUUCCUAUGGGAUUUCUUGGCAUUAGCCAGCUGCUGUUGUCUGAUGGUAAUGCCAUGAUCUGUCAGUCACAGGUAAAGUGCUUUAACAAACUGUCAUGUUUUGACUGUUAAAAAAAUCAAACGUUAUGAUUUCUUAAUUUUUUUAUUAUUAGAUUUUAGUGGGAGUGCGUAAUGCCUUUUGGGGAGGGGUCAUUCCUUUCUAAACAGUUUAUGUUUUGUUUGGCUACAGAAGUAUUUGUUCGUACUGCUUAUAGGCAGGUGUACUGGUCACUGCCAAGACUGCACUGCACUUACAUUAAGCAGUUUUCACAAAUAUCAAGAUGUAGUCCUGGAUGUAUUUUUCAAUAUUACACAGUAUAAAACAUCUGUGUGAGAUAAAUUUUGUGCUAUUACUGACAGAACUAAAUUUGUGCCUCACGAACUGAACUGAACAUUCAUGCUUUAAACUAGUUUCUGAUCAUGUGUGAAGUGCUGCAGAACUUUUCAUGCCCAAGAUGUAACAUUCCACAGCAAACUGUAGAGGAUGUUCCAGCUAAACAACAAGAAUGGUCACAAGAACCAUGUGCAUAUACAAACAUGUGCAUACAAUGUUAAUGGCUUUUUCUAAGCAAAUGGUAAGCCACUAACUCUGAUGUUAGAAAAUAGCCAUUCUGAGCACCAGAUUCUUCUCACAAAUAAGCUUUUAGUGUUUCAGCUUUUCAGAGCCUCAUCAGGAACAAUAAUGAUCAGUAGAGUAGUGGUCAUAGAAUCAGUAAUGUUGGAAAAGACCUAGAUCUAGUUCAACUGUCAACCCAUCCCCACCAUGCCCACUAGCCCAUGAUCCUAAGUAUCACAUCUCCAAGUUUGAACACCGCCAGGGAGAGUGACUCCACCACCUCCCCUGGCCAGCCUGUUCCAGUGCAUCACCACUCCUCCAGAGAAGACAUUCUUUCUAACAUCCAACCUGAACCUCCACUGGUGCAAUUUGAGACCAUUCCCUCUAGUCCUGUCACUAGUUGCACAGGAGAAGAGGCCAAACCCACCUCACCGCAACCUCCUUUCAGGCAGCUGGAGAGAGCCAUGAGGUGUCCCCUGAUCUGCCUCUUCUCCAGACUAAACAAUCCCACUUCCCUCAGCCACUGCCCAUGAGUCUUGUGCUCCAUACCCUUCACUAGCUUCACUGCCCUUCUGCUUACUAGGGAACUCACAGAAACUCUACAGAAAGAUCUGACUGACUCACCUUGGGGUCAGUUGUUCUGAAUGAAGAAAAUAAAUCAUGCCUACACAAAAACA